UACAGAGGUCUCAAGCGUUGUUCGGAUUCAUUUGGGCGUAAAGGGUGCGUAGGCGGCGCGGUAAGUCCGGGUGUGAAAUCUUGGAGCUUAACUCCGAAACUGCAUUCGAUACUGCCGUGCUUGAGGACUGGAGAGGAGACUGGAAUUUACGGUGUAGCGGUGAAAUGCGUAGAUAUCGUAAGGAAGACCAGUGGCGAAGGCGGGUCU
rnacentral:rRNA from 1 species